CCCCUCUCAGGGUCUCACCUGGAGAGUUUCCAGUACUCUACCAGUUUUGGCUAUGUGUGGGACAGUCAAGCAGAGGCAUAUCCAUUCCAUUCCUAGCUUGGGCAGUGGCUAGCUAGUGGAAGACAAUCUGCUACAAGG